rnacentral:rRNA from 1 species
GAAGGCAGCCCACAAGGCCUUUACUGACGCUAAAGCUCGAAGGUGCGGGUAUCGAACAGGAUUAGAUACCCUGGUAGUCCGCACGGUAAACGAUGGAUGCCCGCUGUUGGCGAUACACUGUCAGCGGCCAAGCGAAAGCGUUAAGCAUCCCACCUGGGGAGUACGCCGGCAACGGUGAAACUCAAAGGAAUUGACGGGGGCCCGCACAAGCGGAGGAACAUGUGGUUUAAUUCGAUGAUACGCGAGGAACCUUACCCGGGCUUGAACUGCAGCAGAACGAUUCAGAGAUGAAGAGGCCCUUCGGGGCUGCUGUGGAGGUGCUGCAUGGUUGUCGUCAGCUCGUGCCGUGAGGUGUCGGCUUAAGUGCCAUAACGAGCGCAACCCCUUUCAUUAGUUGCCAUCAGGUAGAGCUGGGCACUCUGGUGAUACUGCCACCGUAAGGUGUGAGGAAGGUGGGGAUGACGUCAAAUCAGCACGGCCCUUACGUCCGGGGCUACACACGUGGAACGGCGGUGGUACAGAGAGUCAGAAGUCGCAAGUCGCAUUCAAUCAAAAAGCCAUCCUCAGUUCUGAAGGGGUAUGCAACCCGGCCCCGAGAAG